rnacentral:rRNA from 1 species
CCACAUUGGGACUGAGACACGGCCCAGACUCCUACGGGAGGCAGCAGUGGGGAAUAUUGCACAAUGGGGGAAACCCUGAUGCAGCGACGCCGCGUGGAGGAAGAAGGUCUUCGGAUUGUAAACUCCUGUUGUUGAGGAAGAUAAUGACGGUACUCAACAAGGAAGUGACGGCUAACUACGUGCCAGCAGCCGCGGUAAAACGUAGGUCACAAGCGUUGUCCGGAAUUACUGGGUGUAAAGGGAGCGCAGGCGGGAAGACAAGUUGGAAGUGAAAUCCAUGGGCUCAACCCAUGAACUGCUUUCAAAACUGUUUUUCUUGAGUAGUGCAGAGGUAGGCGGAAUUCCCGGUGUAGCGGUGGAAUGCGUAGAUAUCGGGAGGAACACCAGUGGCGAAGGCGGCCUACUGGGCACCAACUGACGCUGAGGCUCGAAAGUGUGGGUAGCAAACAGGAUUAGAUACCCUGGUAGUCCACACCGUAAACGAUGAUUACUAGGUGUUGGAGGAUUGACCCCUUCAGUGCCGCAGUUAACACAAUAAGUAAUCCACCUGGGGAGUACGACCGCAAGGUUGAAACUCAAAGGAAUUGACGGGGGCCCGCACAAGCAGUGGAGUAUGUGGUUUAAUUCGAAGCAACGCGAAGAACCUUACCAGGUCUUGACAUCCAACUAACGAAGUAGAGAUACAUUAGGUGCCCUUCGGGGAAAGUUGAGACAGGUGGUGCAUGGUUGUCGUCAGCUCGUGUCGUGAGAUGUUGGGUUAAGU